rnacentral:rRNA from 1 species
UCUUUCGGGACUGAGGUUAGUGGCGCACGGGUGCGUAACGCGUAUGCAACCUACCUUCCACAGGGGGAUAGCCUUCCGAAAGGAAGAUUAAUACCGCAUGACAUCACGAGAGGGCAUCCGAUUGUGAUCAAAGCUGAGGCGGUGGAAGAUGGGCAUGCGUGCCAUUAGCUAGUUGGUAGGGUAAUGGCCUACCAAGGCGACGAUGGCUAGGGGUUCUGAGAGGAUGGUCCCCCACACUGGUACUGAGACACGGACCAGACUCCUACGGGAGGCAGCAGUAGGGAAUAUUGGGCAAUGGCCGAGAGGCUGACCCAGCCAUGCCGCGUGCAGGAAGAAGGCCUUCUGGGUUGUAAACUGCUUUUAUCGAGGAAGAAAACGCCCCUGCGGGGGUAACUGACGGUACUCGAUGAAUAAGCACCGGCUAACUCCGUGCCAGCAGCCGCGGUAAUACGGAGGGUGCAAGCGUUGUCCGGAUUUAUUGGGUUUAAAGGGUGCGUAGGCGGCCUGUUAAGUCAGUGGUGAAAUCCCAGGGCUCAACCCUGGAACUGCCGUUGAUACUGGCAGGCUUGAGUUCGGUCGAGGCGGGCGGAACUGGUGGUGUAGCGGUGAAAUGCAUAGAUACCACCAAGAACCCCGAUUGCGAAGGCAGCUCGCUGGGCCGAAACUGACGCUGAGGCACGAAAGCGUGGGGAGCGAACAGGAUUAGAUACCCUGGUAGUCCACGCCGUAAACGAUGAUGACUCGAUGUUAGCGAUAUACUGUUAGCGUC